UCCUACGGGAGGCAGCAGUGGGGAAUAUUGCACAAUGGGCGAAAGCCUGAUGCAGCGACGCCGCGUGAGGGAUGACGGCCUUCGGGUUGUAAACCUCUUUCAGUAGGGAAGAAGCGAAAGUGACGGUACCUGCAGAAGAAGCGCCGGCUAACUACGUGCCAGCAGCCACGGUAAUACGUAGGGCGCAAGCGUUAUCCGGAAUUAUUGGGCGUAAAGAGCUCGUAGACGGUUUGUCGCGUCUGCCGUGAAAGUCCGGGGCUCAACUCCGGAUCUGCGGUGGGUACGGGCAGACUAGAGUGAUGUAGGGGAGACUGGAAUUCCUGGUGUAGCGGUGAAAUGCGCAGAUAUCAGGAGGAACACCGAUGGCGAAGGCAGGUCUCUGGGCAUUAACUGACGCUGAGGAGCGAAAGCAUGGGGAGCGAACAGGAUUAGAUACCCUGGUAGUCCAUGCCGUAAACGUUGGGCACUAGGUGUGGGGGACAUUCCACGUUUUCCGCGCCGUAGCUAACGCAUUAAGUGCCCCGCCUGGGGAGUACGGCCGCAAGGCUAAAACUCAAAGGAAUUGACGG
rnacentral:rRNA from 1 species